GUGUCGACGAAUGGCAAGCUCGAGGAGUGAGGGCUCGUCGGCGUCCUCUAGGCGCACAUCUCCAUCCCCCAUCCCGUAUCGGGUUGGGCCUCUGGAGUAUCAGCCGGCGGUGGCAUGCAGGUGCGGUAGCAAGGCGGCGAGGUGGAUUUUGUGGAGCCCGGACAAUCCCGGCCGCCGCUACUUCAAAUGUGCAGACGCAAGGAGUGGAGGUUGCGAUUUUUUUGCUUGGGUUGAUGGUCCGACUAGCAGCUUCUUGAGAGAAGUGCUAAACGAUUUGUGGGACGAACUAUUGGCUGCUGUUCAAGAAGGAAGAUCUGUGGAAUCAGAGCUGGAUUUAGCUAGAAAGGAAUUGGCCACAUCAAGGAAUGCUGUUGGUGAGAAGGAAGCUAUUGUAGGGAUGUUGAAGGAUAGGAAUAAUAGGUUGGAGUUAGAGAUAUUUGUGAUGUUGUUGGUAGUUCUAGGUCUUGUUGUUGUUGUUUUUACCAUGUUGAUGGGUAGGAAAUGA
rnacentral:lncRNA from 1 species